UUCGCAAUGCCCGAAAGGGUGACGAAGCGACGCCGCGUGGGUGAGGAAGGCCUUCGGGUUGUAAAACCCUGUCAGGAGUUAAGAAAUGUAAGUGCGCUAAUAUCGCAUUUACUUGACGAAGGCUCCAAAGGAAGCCACGGCUAACUCUGUGCCAGCAGCCGCGGUAAUACAGAGGUGGCAAGCGUUGUUCGGAAUUAUUGGGCGUAAAGAGCACGUAGGUGGAUUUGCAAGUCAGAUGUGAAAGCCUUCUGUUCAACGGAAGAAUUGCAUCUGAAACUGCAAACCUUGAGUGUAGGAGGGGAGAAUGGAACUUCUGGUGGAGCGGUGAAAUGCGUAGAUAUCAGAAGGAACGCCGGCGGCGAAAGCGAUUCUCUGGCCUAUUACUGACACUCAGUGUGCGAAAGCUAGGGGAGCAAACGGGAUUAGAUACCCCGGUAGUCCUAGCCGUAAACGAUGGGCACUAAGUAGAGGGGUUUU
rnacentral:rRNA from 1 species